rnacentral:rRNA from 2 species
UUAAGCGACUAAGCGUACACGGUGGAUGCCCUGGCAGUCAGAGGCGAUGAAGGACGUGCUAAUCUGCGAAAAGCGCCGGCGAGGUGAUAUGAACCUUUGACCCGGCGAUGUCCGAAUGGGGAAACCCAGUGCAAUCCGUUGCACUAUCGUUAACUGAAUACAUAGGUUAACGAGGCGAACCGGGGGAACUGAAACAUCUAAGUACCCCGAGGAAAAGAAAUCAACCGAGAUUCCCCCAGUAGCGGCGAGCGAACGGGGAGCAGCCCGGAGUCUGAAUCAGCUUGUGUGUUAGUGGAACGGUCUGGAAAGUCCGACGGUACAGGGUGAUAGUCCCGUACACGAAAGCACACUUGCUGUGAACUCGAAGAGUAGGGCGGGACACGUGGUAUCCUGUCUGAAUAUGGGGGGACCAUCCUCCAAGGCUAAAUACUCCUGACUGACCGAUAGUGAACCAGUACCGUGAGGGAAAGGCGAAAAGAACCCCGGCGAGGGGAGUGAAAAAGAACCUGAAACCGUGUACGUACAAGCAGUGGGAGCCUCUUUAUGGGGUGACUGCGUACCUUUUGUAUAAUGGGUCAGCGACUUAUAUUCUGUAGCAAGGUUAACCGUAUAGGGGAGCCGAAGGGAAACCGAGUCUUAACUGGGCGUUAAGUUGCAGGGUAUAGACCCGAAACCCGGUGAUCUAGCCAUGGGCAGGUUGAAGGUUGGGUAACACUAACUGGAGGACCGAACCGACUAAUGUUGAAAAAUUAGCGGAUGACCUGUGGCUGGGGGUGAAAGGCCAAUCAAACCGGGAGAUAGCUGGUUCUCCCCGAAAGCUAUUUAGGUAGCGCCUCGUGAACUCAUCUUCGGGGGUAGAGCACUGUUUCGGCUAGGGGGCCAUCCCGGCUUACCAACCCGAUGCAAACUACGAAUACCGAAGAAUGUUAUCACGGGAGACACACGGCGGGUGCUAACGUCCGUCGUGAAGAGGGAAACAACCCAGACCGCCAGCUAAGGUCCCAAAGUCAUGGUUAAGUGGGAAACGAUGUGGGAAGGCACAGACAGCCAGGAUGUUGGCUUAGAAGCAGCCAUCAUUUAAAGAAAGCGUAAUAGCUCACUGGUCGAGUCGGCCUGCGCGGAAGAUGUAACGGGGCUAAACCAUGCACCGAAGCUGCGGCAGCGACACUAUGUGUUGUUGGGUAGGGGAGCGUUCUGUAAGCCGUUGAAGGUGUGCUGUGAGGCAUGCUGGAGGUAUCAGAAGUGCGAAUGCUGACAUAAGUAACGAUAAAGCGGGUGAAAAGCCCGCUCGCCGGAAGACCAAGGGUUCCUGUCCAACGUUAAUCGGGGCAGGGUGAGUCGACCCCUAAGGCGAGGCCGAAAGGCGUAGUCGAUGGGAAACAGGUUAAUAUUCCUGUACUUGGUGUUACUGCGAAGGGGGGACGGAGAAGGCUAUGUCAGCCGGGCGACGGUUGUCCCGGUUUAAGCAUGUAGGCGGAGGUUCCAGGUAAAUCCGGUACCUUAUUAACGCUGAGGUGUGAUGACGAGGCACUACGGUGCUGAAGUGAUAAAUGCCCUGCUUCCAGGAAAAGCCUCUAAGCAUCAGGUAACACGAAAUCGUACCCCAAACCGACACAGGUGGUCAGGUAGAGAAUACCAAGGCGCUUGAGAGAACUCGGGUGAAGGAACUAGGCAAAAUGGUGCCGUAACUUCGGGAGAAGGCACGCUGAUGUGUAGGUGAAGCCCCUGCGGGUGGAGCUGAAAUCAGUCGAAGAUACCAGCUGGCUGCAACUGUUUAUUAAAAACACAGCACUGUGCAAACACGAAAGUGGACGUAUACGGUGUGACGCCUGCCCGGUGCCGGAAGGUUAAUUGAUGGGGUUAGCGGCAACGCGAAGCUCUUGAUCGAAGCCCCGGUAAACGGCGGCCGUAACUAUAACGGUCCUAAGGUAGCGAAAUUCCUUGUCGGGUAAGUUCCGACCUGCACGAAUGGCGUAAUGAUGGCCAGGCUGUCUCCACCCGAGACUCAGUGAAAUUGAACUCGCUGUGAAGAUGCAGUGUACCCGCGGCAAGACGGAAAGACCCCGUGAACCUUUACUAUAGCUUGACACUGAACACUGGUCCUUGAUGUGUAGGAUAGGUGGGAGGCUUUGAAGCGUGGACGCCAGUCUGCGUGGAGCCG